UACAGAGGGUGCGAGCGUUAAUCGGAAUUACUGGGCGUAAAGCGUGCGUAGACGGCUAUCUAAGUCGGGUGUGAAAGCCCCGGGCUCAACCUGGGAAUUGCAUUCGAGACUGAAUAGCUAGGGUACGGUAGAGGGAAGUGGAAUUUCCGGUGUAGCGGUGAAAUGCGUAGAUAUCGGAAGGAACAUCAAGUGGCGAAAGCGACUUCCUGGACCAGUACCGACGUUCAGGCACGAAAGCGUGGGGAGCAAACAGG
rnacentral:rRNA from 1 species